rnacentral:rRNA from 1 species
UACGUAGGGUGCAAGCGUUGUCCCGGAAUUAUUGGGCGUAAAGAGCUCGUAGGCGGUCUGUCGCGUCUGCUGUGAAAACCUAGGGCUUAACUCUGGGCGUGCAGUGGGUACGGGCAGGCUAGAGUGCGGUAGGGGAGACUGGAAUUCCUGGUGUAGCGGUGAAAUGCGCAGAUAUCAGGAGGAACACCGGUGGCGAAGGCGGGUCUCUGGGCCGUAACUGACGCUGAGGAGCGAAAGCAUGGGGAGCGAACAGG